rnacentral:lncRNA from 1 species
GUCAAAACUUGACCACAGUUUUUUACAUUAUUUAAAAAUACUGCAUUUCUAUGCAUACCAUUUUUAUCCCUGGAAUUGAAAGAAAUUCGAAUUCGCAAUUCUCGCCGGUGGUUAGGGGAUAAAAUAUUUUCAGGAACAAACAAAUCAUAAUGAUUUUUGUCUUCUUCAAGGUGGAGAUUGUUGAAAAGUCAAAAAAUGGGAGGUGCAAGUGGCACCGAAAGAAAAAAAGUGAUAGGCAAGUUGUUUAAAGUUGAAUGGGAUAAUUGCAAUUUUGGUCCCUAAUUUUUUAGGCCAUUUGCAAGUUAGUCCCUGAACCUCAACUAUAAAUAGGCCUAACCAUUUCUCAUUUCAACCAUCCCAACCAAUCUUUCUCUCUUAGUUUUCUCUCUUCUCCCAUUUGAGAAUUCUUAAGAAAUUCUAUUUGUUUGUAAUAUUUUGGAGAUAGUAAAGUUAUCAUCUGGUGUUAGUGCCCGAGGAUGUAGGUAUAAUUUACCGAACCUCGUUAAAACUCUUGUGUUCUUUCUUGUCCUAUCUUUCUUUCAAUAUUUGAGGGUAUAAUAGUAAUAUUUAAUUGUGCUAUUAAAUUACUAUAGAAGGGAUAUUCUGUCUAAGGAAAGACUUGGUAUUUAAGAGAUCCAUGUGAUCCACCUCUCUUUCCUGGGAAUUGAACUUUGUGUGAUUUUUUAGUACAAUAAUUUACACGCUUCCGACCCUAUUGGAACAACACUUUGGAUCUUCGCCGAUUUUACCACUCUCAUGAGCACCCACAGGAUUGAAGUACCGCAGUAAAAUAAUACUCCAAUCUGGUUCUGCCUUCUGUAUGUCUCGUGCAAUUUCUUCUAGGAAAAGCUGGUAAAGUUUUCAGUUAAAACAAAGUUUAGCGAUUACAGUUCAUGAGAAUUGAUCCGGUUUAGAUCCAAGUAAUGUACAACUAUUUACCUUGGUCCUUCCAUAAGGAUUCAUGGCCUUCAGCUCAAAAUCCUCAACACAUGGUAUUUUUUCAGGUUGGCCAUAGACUGUUGCAGAGGAAGAGAAUACCAUCUGUCCCCCCCCCCCCCCAAAACAAAAAUAAAGAAGCAUUAUCUUCUAUUAGCAGUGGCUGAAGCACGGUGAAGAUUUUAAAAUAUUGUCAUACCUUUUUACGAUUAUAUUUGGCCAUGACCUCAUACAGAUUGAUAGUUCCAAUCAAAUUGUUAUCGAAAUAACGACGAGGGUUACCGACACUUUCAGCAACGGCCUUAAGGCCAGCGAAGUGGAUGACAGCAUCAAACCUAUGGAGUUUAGUAAUUACAAGUAGAAAUCAAUUUCUCAUAACAUUCAUUUCAAACCAUUUCAGCAUAAUCCUAAAGCAAAACAAAAAUCAAAUUACAAUAUUCACCUUUCAAUUAACCCAUGUACUUAGAUAAAAAAUAAUUUAGACAAAAAUGCAAACAGUAGGAUAACAUAAGUUCAACUCAAAUGUAAAUCAUGAAAACUCAUAACAACCACAAAUAAUGAAAACCAGUGAAGUUACUAAAUCCAGGUAAACAUACUUAGUCUUAGGGAAAAGCUUCUCCAAGUCAUCCCUAUUCCUCAGAUCACCCUGCAACCAAACAAAGCCGAAAUCAAAGCAAUAAACAAAACCUUUAUCAUUAGGUAUUAAAACCAUGAAAACCCACUAAAUGGUUUAUCAGAAAAAUAACAUAGAAGCAGAGAAAAGAUUCAAAUUUUCAUUUACUUUUUUUUUUGUGAAUUUCUUACCAAAUUGAAGUCAAGUUUCUGGGAAAGCUCAGGACCCACCAAGUCCUUAACCCUAUGAACAGCUUCAAUAACAGAAUUAUCAAGAUUGUCAAUAAUUGACACUCUGUAUCCAUCAUUGAGAAGCUGCACCACAGUGUGGGUGCCAAUGAACCCAGCUCCACCAGUAACAAGAAUAGUUUUUUCUGAAGAACCCAUUUUUGAAAAGAUUAUAAAGAGAAUAUUUGUAUAUUGAAUUCAGAGAGAGAGGAAGAUUGGGUUUAUAAAGAAACCUUUUGUUUUUUUUAUGACAAGAUAGUGGGAAGAAGAAGACAGUUUUGGAAGUAUGGAAGAGGAGUUUGAGAAAAUCAAGGAAACUAUCUUUUAGCCAAAUAAAUGGGAUGAGAAUGCAUAGAAGAUGUAAUAGGCAAUGAUUGUGUAAUAAUCCCAAAAAUAGUUGUGAAAGCUUUGAAAUAGUGGAAAGUGUUAUAAGCAUCACAGAGGCAGUCCUUAUCGGAAAAAGAGAUGGCUGAGACAGCCAUAACUCAAUUUCACUCGGUAGUCAUCUGUCUUUACUAUUUUGGCGCGCUUUUCGUAGUUUCGGUGCAAAAAAAAAAAAGUUGGCAUCAUUAUGAAUUAUUAUUUAAUGGAUGAUGAUUGAUUGAAUCGAUCAAUUUCAACAUCAAAUAAUCCAACUAUGCCGUAUUUAUGAUUCCAAUGUAGUUAAGGAUUUUUCUUAAAGAUCCCUUAUCUCUAAUAUUUUAUAGAUUUUAGCAAAUCUAAAGGGAUGUCUGUAGAUCUUCCUGUUUCUUUGAUUAACAAAUCUAAAUCCAGGAAUUUCCCUCAUCUACGAGAUUAGCAUCACAUGUUGUAAUUGCUAAGUUUUAAGAGAAAAUAUUUGGUAUAUCAUCUGUCAAGAUCUUAGACUCUUCAAAUAAGCUCAGAAUCAUAAUAAAAAUUUUAUAUAAAUAUAAUAAAAUAUCAAAAAAUAAAUAUAAAAAAAAAUAUAUGAUAAUUUUUUAAGAUGGUUUGUAAAAUAAAAAAAACACUGUUAAUGCAAUUAAAUACUUAAUUAUUAAUAAAAAUAUAAAUCAAGAUAUUCACUGUUCCUUGUCGCAGAUACUUUUCGAAAAAGUAAAAAAUUAAACACAUUUUUGUGUUCCACUUGUAUGAGUAGAGAUUAAACCCCUACCACAUUAUUAAAAGUAUCUUUAGAUUUUACAAGUAAAAUUAUUAAAAUAACACAAAAUAUAAUUAGAACAAAAAAAAAUUAUAUGAAAAGAGUCAGUGUUAUAAUUUUUGAAUUAUAUUUUUGGAGUUAAAAAUAAGUAUAAUAGUUCAACCUUAUCCAUAUAUAUGAUUUAUAGUUAUAUUACCUGAUACUAUUAAAAUCAAUUAUUGCAAAUAGCAAAUUGAAUAAUUAAUUUUAUUUGGAGUCUUAAUUCGAUUGAUAUCGACAUUGUUAUCAAAGCAGGAGGACAUAAGUUCAAAUGUGCUUAAACGUGUUUAUCCUCCUAUUUAUAGAUAAUUCUAGGCAUUGUGUAAAAAAAUAAUAAACUUUAUUCAAACUACUAAACCUAACUUUUCAGACUCACAAGCAAAUUGUGAGUGUGACAUUUGUCCCAUUUAUUUAUAUAAAUAAUUUUUUUAUUUUUUUACCAUACCCUAUAAAACAUUUGUCAAACCUCCAAUUUGCUUGUUCAGUUUCAAAUAAUUUUCCAUAAACUAAACCCACGAAACUAAAACCUCAAAAAAUUUAUGCAUUUGCUAUGCAAGUGGCUUUGAAGAACAAAUUCACGAACGUUUAACAGUGGCAUGGAUAGAAGCUGUCCAUUUAUGGAAGGCUUUUUAUUACAAGCAAAAAGCAAAGAUGCUGAAUAUAUAGUUUGAAUUAAGAAAUUUUGGUUUCAUGAAGCUGAGCAUAUGGAAUGAGUCCCAAAAGUAAAAGCUGAGAUCUGAGAAAAAGGGUUGAGCUUCUUUGGGAAGUUGGCUACCAUUUUUCAUUCUCCUUGUGCUGUUUAGUCACUCCAAGACAUCAUCAUGCAUAUCAAUUCCUUACAAACCAUCCCAUCCGUUGAUUACUCUAAUGUCUCAAAAGCAGAAAGCAAAGAAUAAAGAUACAUUACAUUAUGUAUCCCAUUCUCGUCACAAAGCCAAAAAACAGAGAUUUGAUCUCCACUAAAAGCUACAAGCUUCUUCUCUACAUAUUGCUAUUCAUGCUGGGGUCCAACAAUCAGUAUAAAAUUUCUAAGGACUUUUACAUUAAAAGUCGAAUUGUAUUUUAUUUUUUCUACAUAAAAAAUAGACAAAUUAUUUCCUGUAUGAUUCGAUCAAAAAGCAAACAGAUCAUUUUCUUGUCAACACAAGAUAUACUUAACAUGUCAUGUGUAACUGUCUAGUUAUUUUAUCAACCAUACCAAUUUUUAACCGUAAAAAUAAGUAAAAUUUUAAUAAAAAAAACUAAUAUACUCUUUAAUCUAAAAUCUAAAAAUUAUUUUUUAAAUAAAUGAGAUGGUAAUUGAUGAUAGAAAAGAAAUGAUGGCUUCUAUAAAAGCCCACUUAACUCAGGUCUAGGCCUAUCAGUGACUUGGGUGACGGGUCAGUUUCUACUGCAUUAAGUAGUCAUUAUUGCUGGCCUACUACAGUUUUAUAAUAUGAAUAAUCUGUCCACGAAUUGAAGGCUUGUCAGCCUGAUAGGCUGGUCCGAUUAUGGAUAAAGAUUUCUAAUUUCGGACCAAUUAAAUUUAAAUUAAAUAAUCUUAAAAAUAUGGUUUGUUUAAAAUUUAGUUAUAUUAAUAUAUAAUAUAAAUAUAAAAUUAUGUUUUUAAUUUAUUGUUUUUUAAGUCAACUUAAUUUAUGUUCAUUUUAUAAUAUAUAAAAAUAUUUUUUAAAAUGUAUGAUUAUCUUUCCAACAAUAUUUAAAUUUAAGUUUUCCAUUUUGAGAAUGCGUUGUACCAGUUCGCUGUGUUUAUUAAUUUUUUCAUGUAUUAAAUGUGUCAUGUUUGUUUUAUAUCCAUGUAAAACUUUGUUUAUGAUUUUUUUUUACAUUUUAUUAUUAAGUUUUCUCUUCAAUUUAUAUGGUUUAAGGUUAUUUUAUUUUUAAUUCACCUUCAAUUAAUAUGGGCAUUGUUGCCUAUACAAGGAAACUGUAAAAAUCAAAUAAAUAAAAUCUUAUUUAAUUAAUUAAGCACAAAUCCAACCUGACGUAAGUUACCUGAACUAAUGGAAAUUAGCUCUCACUUAUGCAUGAAGGAUUGGAAAUGGUAUAAUGUAUGUAAUACAGAUAUAUGGCGGACCAAUCUAUGACAACCCAAGUUCCUUAGGCUAGUUCAUGAGAAUUGACAUGAAAUUUAUGAAACAAGCCCUCUUUUUAAUUAAGUUUGGGACAUCCCUUGUAUGUUAAAGUUACUUCAAAACUGAGACCUCACUGUUCCCUAAAAACCAAAAACCGAAAGUUCCCUUUUCUCUUUAUUGGUAAGUUAAGUGAAUUACAUUUAUGCAGAAGAUUAUAAAUUUGUUCUAUUUUUGGUCAUAAAUAUCGUAUACCUUCGAUCAUAAAAUCAAACUUAAGCCUUAUAAUAAUUUCCCUUGCAUUGAGAAGAUGAUGAGCUUCAGAAACAUUUCAAUGUAUUACUUCGUUAGGGUUGCGGAUCACGGCAUUACAUUAGCCAAUGCAGCCACUUUCAGCAUCCAAAACAAUUUCCCCUACACAGUUUGGGCCGCCGCAGCGCCAGGUGGCGGCAGGCAACUUGACCACGGCCAAGUGUAGUACCUCAACGUGAGCUUUGGAGUAGGAGGUGCCCGUAUCUGGGCUCGAACCGGUUGCGAAUUCAAUGAAAGUGGACAAGGUAAAUGCCAGACAGGUGACUGUGUGGGGCUACUUCAAUGCCAAGGCUACGGUUUACCCCCAAAUACCUUGGCUGAAUACACAUUGAACCAGUUCGAUGGUAUGGAUUUCUUUGAUAUAUCUCUUGUUGAUGGGUUCAACGUUCCCAUGGAAUUUAGCCCAACUUCUGGUGGGUGCAACAGAGGCAUAAAAUGCACUUCACAGAUUGUAGGGCAGUGCCCUAGUGAACUUCAAACCCCUGGUGGGUGUAACAAUCCUUGUACUGUGUUCAAAACUGAUGAAUAUUGUUGCAAUUCUGGUAAAUGUGGUCCGACAAAUUUCUCAAGUUUUUUUAAAGAAAGGUGCCCCGAUGCUUACAGUUAUCCUAAAGACGAUGAAACAAGCACAUUUACUUGUCCUACUGCAACUAAUUAUAAGGUAUAUAUGUACUCAUAAGAGAGCUAUGACCUUCAAUAUUAAUAGAUUAUUUGAUUUUCUUUUGCUCUCAUAAUUCUUUAUCCAUCCUAAAUGUGGGGUUUUAAAAAAUUUGUGGAGAUUCAAUUGAGUAAAAAACGAACAAAUUAUGUUGGUUUGUUAACCCAAAAGAAAGUUGAAGCAUGAAACAAAUCUGAAUGGUUAACUUAUUUUUAGCAGCAAUGAUUAAUUCAUGUUAAACAAAUUGGAAGAUAACCAUAUUAAUUUCCAUGAUACGAUCUUGACUGGUCAUCCAAACCAAUUUUCAACAAACAUUUGAUUACAAUCAAGAGCCACUCUUUACUUGGUCUGUCAAUACCAUCUAACAUAAAUCCACCUUUUCCCUCAUAAACUCCAUGCAAUACAAAGCUAGCAAAAAUGAAGUUGGAAAGCCUCUCUCCGUUUUUCUUCCCUUUCGUUGCUCUUUGCUUCACGGUGGCCACUGCUGCCACUUUUACCAUUCGAAACAACUGCUCCUACACGGUCUGGGCAGCAGCCGUGGCCGCCUCCGCUGCUGGUGGUGGCAAGAGGCUAGAGAGCGGUGCAACUUGGAAUCUAAAUGUGAAGCCCGGCACUAGAGGAGCCCGUAUCUGGGCUCGAACCAAUUGCCAAUUCGAUGAAGCCGGUGAUUGUGGGGGGCGACUUAAGUGCAAAGCCUAUGGUAAACCCCCAAACACCUUGGCUGAAUUCGCACUAAACCAGUACAAAAACUUGGAUUUCUUCCAUAUCUCUCUGGUUGAUGGAUUUAAUGUUCCUAUGGAGUUUAGCCCAACAUCUGGGUUGUGCAAGAAGGGCAUUCAAUGCACAGCUGAUAUAGUAAGGAAUUGAAAGCCCCAAGGGGGGUGCAAUAAUCCUUGCACCGUUUUCAAGACUCAACAAUAUUGUUUCUAUUACGGGAAGUGUGACCCAACGGAUUUUUCCAAGUUCUUCAAGGCAAGAUGCCCCAAUGCUUAUACUUAUCCACGAGAUGAUCCUUCAAGCACGGUCACUUGCCCUGGUGGAACCAAUUACAAGGUUGUGUUCUGCCCCAUUGGCUCUCCUCAUCUAGAGAUGAUUGCAAGCAUGAGCCAAGAAGAGUAAAGGGAUGAUCUCUUGGAAUAGUUGAUCUGCGCCUGGGAAUAAAAAUAAAAAGUUAUUUUUUAACCUUUUCAAAUGAUAAUCAUCAUGUGAUAUCGAGAGAAUCAAAUCAUUGCUAUGCAUAUAUCACAAGUAAAUAAUUCCUACGAUUUAAACUCAUAACUUGAUAUGUGAAAUGAAUUUCCAUAAUCAAUAGAUCAAAUAUUGAAGUUGGAGUUGUUGUUUUGUUUGUACGUACUUAUUUUAUACUUGACUCUUUGCUUGAUGCAUCAACAAAAACAUAUAAAGAGUCAAAUAAAGCAAUUGUACCAUGAAUUUGGAUUUCACAACACAAAGCUUCAACUGAUAUUUAUUGGUAUUAAUUAAAGGCAAAAUAAUCUUAAUCAUCAAAUUUAAGAAAAAUAAAUUAAAUUAAAUGCUCAAUUUGUUAGAUUUAUUGGUAAUUUUAUUCAAAUGAUAUCUAAAUAAUUAUGGGAAAAAAUCAUAUUUUAGAUUCUGUGUUCACACACAAAAAAAAGAAAGUAUGAUUUUCAUUAUUAUUUGAUAUUCGAUAAUUUUAUUAUUAUUUGAUAUAAUUUUAUAUUUAAACCUCUCAACCUUUUCCGUCUUAUUUUUUUAUGUUUAUUAAAAAAUAAAAUAAAAAUAAGUCAAAUUUUGGGGCCCUACUAGUUUCAAUUUAGUUUAGGUUAUUCAUUAUAAACUAAUAUCUCCAGACAUAAAAUUUUUAAAAACUAAAAUACUUCUUUUGACAGUUCACAGAAAUUAGCAUUUUAAUGUACGAAAUAAAUAAUCUAAUAAAAUGAAUAUUCAGUGCAAAUACAAAUGUGAGAAGAAAGUCGUACCUACAAAUUUUUCCUAACAUCUAGAAAAAGUCGUAUUUUUGGGUUGAUUGGGUCUUAGUUCAAUUAACAAAAAUAUUGUUACUAAUGUAGGAGGACGUAGGUUUAAAUGCAUUGAAGUGUGUUCUAUUAUUUAUGAGUUGUUCUAGACAUUGUGUCAAAUAUAUAUAUAAUCAGAACUUAUAAUUAGAUUGUUAAACAAAAAAAAUUUACAUUUUUAAAUGUUGAACGAAUAUGAAUUUUACUAUAAAAUGUUUUUAAAAUAAUUUUCUUAUAAAAUGUUACAAAUUUUCAAUAUAUGAAUUUUACAGAAUUUUUAAUAAAAAAAUGAAAAUGAUUUCAAGCUAUUACUUGAGAUGUGGAGAAGUUAAUGUAUCUGCAGUAUUAUAAUUAACAUUUUAAUUUCUCUAGUUAGCUUAUUAAUAAGAGAUCAUAUCUGAUGCGCUCUUUAUGCAUGAAUUUUAUGCACAAUGCACUAUAAUUUGCCACGUCAUUAAUGAACAAAAUAGGAAAAAAUUAAAAGACUUUCUAAUAAAUAUUUAAAAAUUUAUUUAAACUUAAAUAAUUAAUUGAAAAAGUCUAAUUUUAUUAAGAGAUAAAAUACGAGAAAUUAUAAUUAAUUUUAUUGAGAUUUAAAUAAAAUUUUAGAUAUUUAUUAGAAAGUUUUCUAUUUUUUCUAUUUUGUUCAUUAAUGAUGUCAUGAAAUUGCGGUGCAUUGAUAGUGUAAUGCAUAAAGCUCAUGCAUCGAUAAUACAUCAAAUAUAAUCCUUAUUAAUAAUUCAAUAUUGUUCAUGAAUUAAAAAAAAAAGAAAAAAUUAAUAUUGAUCAUAAUAAACCGUAUGCUAGUUUCUUCAUAUAAAUGUGUUCAUAUUUAAAAUUAAUAUAUGUACAAUAUUAAUAUAUUGUCAGAUCACAUUUGAGAUGAUGAACACCCUAAAUAUUAGACCAACAUAUAGGGUUCGGCUUGAUUUUUUCUUUUAAUCUCAAAUAUAAGAUUACUAAUUUAUUUUAAAACUUUGCAUUGAUUUACCACAACUUGUUUAGUUAUUAGUAAGGUUGGUUUUCGAUAUGUGGUGGGUUAAGGUAACAGAGUAGCGCAUACUCCGAGCUGCUCAGUGAACCGGUGGACAUACAUGAUUAUGUGAUGGAUGGUGUCCUAUUAGCUAAAUUAAUGAAAUAUUUAUUACGGAAAAUUAUUAACUAAAUGACAGAUUGUGGGGAUUUUAAAAUUACAUCCAAUCAAGAUUUAACAAAAAAAAAAUCAUUUCUUUGCUCAUUUUUAGAGGUCUAAAUAGAUGUCUGCAGUUAUUUUUAAACACUUAAAAAUGCAUUUAUCUUAUUGAUUGAGUUUUAGUUUAAUUAACAUGAAUAUUGUUAUUAAUGCAGGGAAAUGUAGGUCUGAAUGCACUGGAAGGCAUUAUUCUCCUAUUUAUGAGUUAAGGAGAGAUUGUGAAUAAUUUUAGAUAUUAUGUAAAAAAAAAUAUAAUCAUAACUUAUAAUAAUUUUAACCGUUGGAUUUCUAUAAAAUAACUACUAGUAAGAUAAUUCAUAUUAAAAUCAUUGAUAUCUAAUUUAGAAAACAAAUAAUAAAAACUCUAUUUAUCAUUAGAUUAUAUAAUAGAUCGUUACCGGUUGAUGUAGAUUUAACAUGUUCAAUGAAAAUAAAUGUACAAUUGUACACACUAAAAAAUUCUGACUUUAUCUUCAUUAUGAUUUCGAAGUAGCGAAGUAGCCGCCUCAGCGUUUAUUUUUAAAACAAUAUUAUGACACAUGCCUCGGAUUUCCCAAAAGCCGCCUUGCUUGUAUAUAAACCCUCCACUCCUAUGAGCAAAUCACCAAGUAAAAACCAACCAUGAGCUACUUAACCAUUUCCCAGAUCUCUUCCAUCCUCUUCUUCAGCGUUCUUUUCAUUUCCGCCCAUGCAGCGCGCUUUGAAAUCCGCAAUGAGUGCCCCUACACUGUUUGGGCAGCAGCCUCUCCUGGUGGUGGUCGUCGCUUAGACCCACGGCAAAGUUGGACCAUCAAUGUGCUUGCUGGCACAGCCAUGGCUCGUAUCUGGGGUCGCACCAAUUGCAAUUUCGAUGCCAAUGGUAGGGGUCAUUGCCAAACCGGUGACUGUGGUGGACUCCUUGAGUGCCAAGGUUGGGGUGUCCCUCCAAACACCCUGGCUGAAUAUUCACUUAAUCAAUUUGGAAACAUGGAUUUCUACGACAUUUCCUUAAUUGACGGGUUUAACAUCCCCAUGGUGUUUGGUCCAACUAAUGGCGGUUGUCACAACAUUCGGUGCACAGCAGACCUCAAGGGACAAUGCCCGAAUGAGUUAAGGGCUCCUGGUGGGUGCAAUAACCCAUGCACAGUGUUCAAAACCAAUGAGUAUUGUUGCACUCAAGGGUACGGAACCUGUGGUCCGACCUAUUUCUCAAGGUUUUUCAAGGACCGGUGCCAUGAUUCAUACAGUUAUCCUCAGGAUGAUCCUUCAAGCACCUUUACUUGCCCCGCUGGUUCCAAUUACAGGGUUGUGUUUUGCCCUAGAGGCUCACCCCGCAUAGAGAUGGUCGGAAGCAAGAACCAAGAAAAGUAAAGGGAUGAUCUCUUGGAGUAGUUGAUUUGCAUUUGGGAAUAAAAAAUAAAGAUCAUUUGGUCUUUCGAAAUGAUACUGAACCUAUGGAUGUAUUUGUUUUAUUUUGCAUAUGUUUUGUUUAAUGGAAGAGCAAAAACAAAUAAAUACUAUUUUUUUUGGUGAUUUAUAAUAAUAAGACAAAUUCUGAAUAAUAAACUAUUAUUCAGAUUCCAAUUUAGAUCACAGUUUGGAUGAUGAAUGGCCCAUCACAUGGUUCAAACUGCUUGUAAGUAGAAUGAGACAUUCUGUGGUAGAAACCAACUAAACUCAAGAACAUUACCUCAAAAACGAAUUUAAGGUAAUGUCAUUUUUUAAUGCUUUUAGACUUCCCUCGUCAACUUGAAUUCCUGCUGAACUUAUUAUAAAACCCCAAAAAGAAAAUCUUAUCCAUGCAAUUACCAAAAAGUUGUUCAUGUCCUUCUUUGGUGCGUCGAUGAUCUGGCAAAACCAGGUAAACCUACCUGAUGAAAACCAAUACCAUAACAUCAUUGACCACCUUCAAGACCACCACCGUCCCCCCAGUUAUCUCAUCACUCUCGGUUCGCUCCCUCGAUCGAAACAACGCCUCCAACUACACUCUAUCACAACUCUCUCGCUUUUCAAGCCACACACAUCAUCUUCACCAUCCUUGCCAAAAACCACCAUCUCCAACCUGAAACGAAUUGGGUGGAGCCAGCACUCAAAAACACCAUGAGCGAACGCACACGAAUCGUCUUUUUUUCAGUUCCCCUUGCGGAAGUCCGGGCAAGCGGAUUGAGAGUAACGGAACUUCCUCGAAUCCCUCCAAUGAGCCUUCUCGCUCGGGUGGGCGUACGGCCCCUCGGUCAGUCAUGUGACCUUCCACGCGCACACCUCUUCACCUUGAACUCAUACAUACGAAAAUGGUCGCAUGAGAAUGCAUCGACGAUGGGUACGUCAGAGUCGUCACAAAGGGUGUCGGGCUCGAGAUCGUUCAACGAGAGGUAGCGGAGAAGGGCCAUAAGGUAGUCAACGGGACGGGCUGCAAGGUGCAUUGCAGUUAAAGUCGAGGGUUGAAAAGUUAUCCGCCCGAUCGUUUAACAAUUCCUAGUCGGGGAUUUUGACGGUGGGGAAGGGUCGUGUAGUGAGUUUUUUUAUCAUCAUAUUUUGGAUAUUGUCAGUUCUGCUAUUCUAACUCGGAUGAUGAAGAUGAAUGUGCUUGGUUUCGGGUUCUAGAUGGUAAAGAUGAUGCGUGGGGCUUGAGAACAGAGAGAGUUGUGACAGAGUGUAGUUGAAGGAUUGGUUUCAAUCGAAAGAGCGAGUCCGGAGUGAUGAGAUUACUAGGGGGACGGUGGUGAUCCUGAGGGUGAUUAAUGGUGUCAUGGUAUUGGUUUUUAGUAGGUAGGUUGACUUGGUUUUGCCAGAUCAUCGGCACACCAAUUAAGGAGAAGAAAGAAAAAAAUAAUAAAGAAUGAAAGAAAAGGAAAAACAGACAGAAAAGAUAAUAAUAAAAGAAAUAUAAUAAUAUAGUGGGAUCUACUAACGAAAAUUAAUCUCAUGUCACUGUGCCGUUUGAUACUUAAUCGCACGGUGGCUAUGAAAACAAUUUCUUAAAAUUUAGGGUGAGUUUAGAUAAACGAUGCGUUUACUUGCAGUUAGUGUAAAAAUAGCGGUGGCGGUAAGAUUAGAUACUAUAGCGAUACUGUAGUGUGAAACAAAAAAUAAACUAAACACACCGCAUCGCAUCCAAUUGUUCAUCCAAAUUCACCCUUAAUGAUGAGUUGGAUGAUUAAAGAAGCAUUAAAAAUUUAGUUACUAAUUAGAUAAUUUAUUCAAAUAAUAAUAUGUGAAUAUUUUAAUAUAUUGUAUUAAAACAGUUAUAUUUUUAAAGGGAAAUAUAAAUUCAAAUUUUAUGAACUACGAUAUGAUAAAUACGUAAAAUCGGUUAUGUUAAAAAAAUAAUAGUAUUCUGCAACGUACGUAGACUGAGUAGCUAAGUGGAAAGAAAGUCAAAUGGUAGAUAUUAAAAUAAGGAAUAUCUUAUGGUUCUCCCAAAAUCCAAAUAAGCUUGGCCUUAUCUUCAUUAUGAUUUGAAAGUGUUCGAUUAGCCGCCUCUACCUUUAUUAAAACAAUAUUAUGGCACUUGCCCAUGAUAUCUAUGGUACCAAAAAGCCGCCUUACUUGUAUAUAAACCCUCAUCUCCUAUGAACAAAUCCCAAAGUAAGAGCUAACCAUGAGCUACUUAACCAUUUCCCAAAUCUCCUCCCUCCUCUUCUUUAGCGUCCUUUUCAUUUCCGCUCAUGCAGCGCGCUUUGAAAUCCGCAAUGAGUGCUCCUACACCGUCUGGGCAGCAGCCUCUCCUGGUGGUGGCCGUCGCCUAGACCCUCGGCAAAGUUGGACCAUCGAUGUGCCUGCUGGCACUGCUAUGGCUCGUAUUUGGGGUCGAACCAAUUGCAAUUUCGAUGCCAGUGGUAGGGGUCAUUGCCAAACCGGUGAUUGUGGUGGACUCCUUCAAUGCAAAGGUUGGGGUGUACCUCCAAACACCCUGGCUGAAUAUGCACUUAAUCAAUUUGGAAACAUGGAUUUCUACGACAUUUCCUUAGUUGAUGGGUUUAACAUCCCCAUGGUGUUUGGUCCAACUAAUGGCGGUUGUCACAACAUUCGGUGCACUGCAGACAUCAACGGACAAUGCCCGAAUGAGUUAAGAGCUCCUGGUGGGUGCAAUAACCCAUGCACGGUGUUUAAGACCAAUGAAUAUUGUUGCACUCAAGGGUACGGGACCUGUGGUCCGACCCGUUAUUCAAGGUUUUUCAAGGACCGGUGCCGUGAUUCAUACAGUUAUCCUCAAGAUGAUCCUUCGAGCACCUUUACUUGCCCUGCUGGUUCCAAUUACAGGGUCGUGUUUUGCCCCAGAGGCUCACCUCAUAUAGAGAUGGUCGGAAGUAAGAGCCAAGAAAAAUAAAGGGAUCAUCUCUUGGUCUAGUUAAUCUGCGCCUUGGAACUAAAAAAUAAAAAAGUCCUUUGGUCUUCCCAAAUGAUAUCAAACACGUGGUUCUACUUGGUUUAUUUUACAUAUGUUUUGUUUAAUAAUAUUGUGCAGAUUCAACAGCACAAGACGUCACAAGUUGCUAUCAUCUUUCAUCAAAAUUUCCAACUCAUAAAUACCCAUAUAAAAAAGUUAUAUGAACUUAUAUUAUUUCUUUUAUGGGAUAAAUUAUGAUUGAAUAUUUAUUAAUAUAAAUGUAUUUAUUCAUAUACGUAAUUAAAUUUUUAAUUUAAUAUUUUUAUCAUAUUAAUUUAAAAUAUUAUCUUUAUUAAUAUAUAUAUACUAAUUUACAAGUUUUUUACAUAAAUAGUUGUACAUUUUUUAUUUUAUUCCAAAUCUAUAUAUAGUCUAUGUGAUUAAAACAUUAAAUAUGGCAAUCAAAUUAUUAAAAUAUUAAUAAAAAUGUAUUAUAUAUAUAAAAAUCCAUUAAUGUAGGUUAUGGAAAUGUCUACUUCAAUUUUACACAAUUGAGAUUUUAUGUUUUUGUCUCACCCUAGAUAAAUAUGUAGGUUUUUUUUUCAAAUUUAUCAUGGUUAUAAUUAGAGUUUAAUGAAUUCUUGAUUUAAUUAUUCAAUUUAGUACUUAUAAUAUUUAAAAUUGAAUUGGAUGGUGGGUUUAAGAUUCGAUCGAGAUAUUUAUUUAGAAUAAGGGAUCAGAUUGAUUGAUUCGUAAAUUGAUUAAAUUGAUCGAUCGGACUAACCAAACUGGAUAUAUCUUGUUUAUAAUGAUUGAUUAGUUUUGUUUGAUUGUUUUUUAGAAAAUGAUGGAUUAGUUGUUACUUCAAAGUAAAAUUUAUGAUUAGAUGCAAAUUUAUGACAGCAAAGCCAAAGUUGAGCAUAUAGUCUUGGCUUUGGUCGUCUUUCGAGAUAAGAGACCUGUCCUAAUCAAAACAACUUUUUUCUUUUUUCUUUAGAAUAAUCAAACCUACCUAACCUUUAUUGCAAGUCUUAUCCUGUUUCGUUACUCAAAAGAAAUUGCAUCUCAACACUACUUCUUUGGAGCAGUACUUCUGUGGUAUCCUACAAUCUACGGGCAGCACUUAGAUUUAUUUAAAACUGACCUAAUUUAAGAAUGCUUCUAAAAAAUAUGUUCGAGAAAAAAAAAUUCUGCGGAGAAAUUAAAAUUUUUAAAUUCUGGAAAAAUGUACUUUUAAAUUAAUUUUUAACUUGAAAGAAAUAUUUUUUCUUUAAAAAAAAUUUAUUUUAAAAUAUUUUUAUCUCAAAAAAUCUUUCCCACACUCGUCCUGAAACGAUAAUCGGUACUUCAAUUUCCAAACGUACGUAUUCGGACUUUUCCACGCAUCUUUGCCAGCUGCCUACCAAUACCAUUUAUAUUUCAAUCAUUUUGAAGUUUCGAUUAUUAAGAAAAUAACAGCUUACUGCCUUUACGAAAACCUUGUCAAGUGUACCAUCUUGCUUAAUCAAUUUUGACGUUACCUUAACACCCCCUCCCAAAAAUAUAUAUAUUUAUAUUAAUUUAUUAGUAAAUUUAUAUUUUACUCACUCAAUUUUAAGUAUGUCUAGCGAGCUCCAAGUGAUGAUUCGACAAUCAAUACAGUUGAUCAAUACCCAUCAACAAGUAGAACAUACAUUAGAUCUGAUAAGUGCUAAAAAUAACAUGUUUUAACAUCAUUCUUAACACGUUUUUAGGUGAUUAUUUGAUGUUAAUUAUGAAUUUUAUACUUCUAAUCCUUUAAUUUCAUGUUUUAAUACUUAAUAGAGUACUUGAGAGCAAAAGGAGCAAAAAUCAGAGCAUGGGAGCAAGUUGCAAGAGCCACACGGGCUGAACCAUUCCACAUGGGCGUAUGAUAGGCCAUGUUGAUUUCAUGAGAUUAUGCACCGAACAACAGAAAGUCAUGAUUUUUAGGUUUUUAGGACAUCCUAAGACGUAAAUAUGACAAAAAUAAGGAGAUAUUCAAGAAAACAACUCAAAAAGAACCAUUGAAGCCGACUUUGAAGCAGGUUUUCGUUAAGAUUAAAUAUUCCUAGUUGAUUUCGUAGAAAGUUAUCAUGAGUUUCUUUAUUUUUUUCCGGUUAUAUUGUGUCUUGAAUGUUUUUAUUUUCAAGUGUGAACUAAUUUUCUAAUUAACUAGGGGAGAUGAACACUAGUAUAGAUUCUGUCGUUUGAUUUUUAUUUUACACAAUAAAUAUUUAGUUUCUUAUUCUCAAUUAUGUGUGCUUAAUUCUUGGUGUGAUAUUUCUAAAUUAUUAAUCCAUAUUUGAUGUACUUAAAUCAGUGGUUGAAUAAACCCUAUUUAAGAGUAGAUCUUGUAUAAUUGAAUAGAGUUGCAUACAAUUCUAGAAAUAGACAAUAUAAAUCUACUAGAUUAGAGUAAAAUCUAAUAGGGAAUCAAUAGCACAAGUUAAUGCGAUAAUAGGGGUUUUAAUUAAAAAAAAUUAAUUAAUCAACCUAAAAUCAAUUGCUCUUAUACUCGAAAGAGAUAUUUGCAUAGUUUAGAUUGAUAAUGAUAGAUGAAAUCUAGGUGAAUUCUUUUUUGGAUAUUUUUUCGCUUAUUGGUUGUUAAUUACUUUUGUGAUUUAUUCUUUGUCGUGUUUAUUAGUUAAUUAAUUUAGUUAAUUUUAAUUUUUAAUUAAUCAAUCGAAUUAUUAGAUUAAAUAAUAAAAAGACGAUAAUUACCAGUACUUUUAGUUUUUGUGGGAAUGAUAUCUUUACUCACCAUAACUAUAUUAUUAAUUGAUAGGUGAAUUUACCUUAGUGCAUCAAGAUCCAAGUUAAUCUGAAGAUUAAUGUCAAAGAUUGGAGAAGAAAACUGUUUUAAUUUUGAUUUGCAUAUUUGUGACAUCCAAAAUUAUUUUAUAAAAAAAUUUAACCAUAGAAAAGAAGAGGAAAGAGAACUUUAAUUGAUGCAACCGAUGUGGGAAAAAAACUAUUCAACAGCAUUUUUAACAAUCCAAUUACUAUAAAUUUUUUUGAAUAAUUUAAUAACAAUUUAAUAAUUUUUUAAAUUUAAGUGGUCAAAAUAUAAAAACAAAGAAGUCAGAUAUAUAUAUUUUAUUUUUUAAAAAAUAAAUUACUUAUAUAAUUAUAAUGAUAUAUUUUUAUUUUUUAAAUUAAGUCAGAUGUAACUUUGACUUGGGAACCAAAUUCAGUGGGAUUUGCAUAUUAAUAACAAAAUAGAUAUUAAUAAAGAGAUACCAGCCGGAGAAAAUUAAGAGCGGUAUAAAGCACAUGGCUUAUGUAAAUGUCAACACCAACCUCUGACAGACCCAUUAUUAGAUCAGAUCCACUUGGAUUAUGCCAAUCUCAUGUGGGAUUACAAACAACAUUGAUAGGUUGCGUUUAAAGACAGCUAAGGAAAGUCUUCUUUCCAUAAAAAUAAUUGGUCGGAGAUUCUACUUUCCCAUUCCCCUUUAAGAAAUUCAUGCCAAAAAUUUGUCAUGGAUCCAACAUACAACGCAUAAUAAUGAACGGAUGAAGAUAUUAUGAACUCACUAUAAUUUUUCUAUAAGUUCCAUGUUACAUAAAUUUUGAAUGUAUUUGUAUUAUUUUCUAGUUAUAUAUAUAUUUUUUAAUCAUUUGGAGUCUUUUACACGCAAUGUCUACUUAUUACGUGCUGCUUAAUUUGAGCUCUUAAAUGGUAUAUUACAGCAAGCACAAAGUUUAUAUAAACAUUGCCGGUAAGUUAAUAUUUGGCUACUUUCAAAUUUUGACUCUCAGUAAGACAUUGACUUCCCAAAUGAUCCUGUGAGUACCUAUUAAGGUUGAUGAUGAUCUUGAGGAACAACGUAGCAACUCUCGUCUUAUAAAUUACAUUUUGAAGGAUUUACAACUGUACAGUUUAAAUCCUUGUUUAAGUUUCAGAUUAGGGUUAUCAAUUAUAUUAUCAAAUACUAUUAUCUCCCAAAGCUAAUGACUUUUUAAAAUUUUAAAGAUUCACUAUGACUAAUUAUAAGCAGAAAUUAACUUUUUGAUGCACAAAAUAAAGAAUCCAAUGGAUUGAGUGUUCAGUGCAAGUACAAAUGUGAGAAGAAAGUCGUACCAAGAGGGAAAAGAGGCAAGAGUUAGUCUCGUAUGUUCCUCGUACCAGUAUCCAGACAGUAACUGUUGUCUGUGUUCUUGGUCUGCAAUCUUCACCCUCAACCAUUUGCAUAAAUCUAGUUUGAUUCUGCUAUUUUCUGAUUCGAAUUCCAGGUAUAUCUUUCAAACCCAUUUUUAAAGCGGUCUUCCUGAAGAGAGAUGGAGGUCUUUGCAAGCCAAUUGAUUGGGAAAACUGGUUGGCCAGAUCAACAAGUGUAGUUUUAUCCCGCCCAAUUUCUCUGAUCGAGUUAUAAUAACCAAGCCAAGCAUGAUAUGCUGCUUCUUUGACAUUCCCAUCAAUCUUUGCCAUUGAAAACUCCAACUGCAACAACAUUCCAAUGCAUUACAAACUUUUUGUAACAGACACUAAUGAAAGAAUCAUUAGACACACACACAUCCCAUUUUUUUAAAUGAAAUUGAGAUAUCAAUGCAAUAUUCACCGAAACUGGUAGAUUAAAAAACCAAUAUAUUUUCAAAAACCAUGGCAUCAACCUAUAAAGAAAAUCCUUCUGAUAGAAGCAUGAAGAGUAAUACUUUAUGAGUUUAGAUGCAGACCUUCUGUUUGACAUCUGGAUCCAUAUCUGGUAAAGAGAUUUUCUCAAGAGGCAAGUCCUUAAUUUCAUCCAAGAAAUACUCUUCCCAUGGAGCUAUCAAUAAGAUACCUUCUCCAUCCUUGCCUUCCCGUCCUGUCCUUCCUAGUCGGUGUAUAUAUUGCUCUCGGUCAGAAGGAAUUCCCACCUGGUAGUAAUAAAAAAAUUUAUACAUAUCACUAUUAAAAAAAAUAGAGGGAUACAAAACAAGAUACAAGAUAUGUAUUUGACAACCAGCAAGUUUCUCAACUUUCAGCAGUUAUCAUAAACCAUAUAGGUAGCUCAACAGCUGCAAGAGAUCUUAUCGUUUGCAGGGUUUUUCAUCAUGGUUCAAUGUAUUAAACUAUUAAUGCAGGCAUAUGUGCUGAACUGCUUAAUAAGCCAAUGACAUGCUUGAGUUUUAGGUUCAAAGGUACCUGAAUAACCAAAGUGACAUCAGGAUAAUCCAUUCCUCGUGCCGAAACAUCAGAUGUAACAAGAAUUAGCCUCUUAGAGUCCCUGAAUUCAUCAGAGAUACGAGUUCGGUAAAUUUGAGGUUUUCUGGAAUGGAUCUCCCUGACAUUCAUUUUCAUUUCUCGAAGAAGCAAAUACAUCAGUGAUGUUACCAUCCCAGUUGUACAGAAAACAAUGACCUGGGUGCUAGAAUAGUUAGCUCUCAAGAAAUUUCUGC